GGUGGUGCAGCAGUGGUUGUGCCGCCCCGUCCAGCACCCCCACCUGGCCGUCCGCCACCUCCAAUGAGUGGUCCCGGUGGUGCUGCCGUAGUUGGUCCACCCCGUCCAGCACCUGGCCUUCCACCGCCUGAAAUGAGUGGUCCUGGUGGUGCUGAAGUAGUUGGUCCGCCCCAUCCAGCACCUGCACCUGGCCUUCCACCACCGAGAAUGAGUGGUCCCGGU